GACGAACGCUGGCGGCGUGCCUAAUACAUGCAAGUAGAACGCUGAAGGAGGAGCUUGCUUCUCUGGAUGAGUUGCGAACGGGUGAGUAACGCGUAGGUAACCUGCCUGGUAGCGGGGGAUAACUAUUGGAAACGAUAGCUAAUACCGCAUAAGAGUAGAUGUUGCAUGACAUUUACUUAAAAGGUGCAAUUGCAUCACUACCAGAUGGACCUGCGUUGUAUUAGCUAGUUGGUGAGGUAACGGCUCACCAAGGCAACGAUACAUAGCCGACCUGAGAGGGUGAUCGGCCACACUGGGACUGAGACACGGCCCAGACUCCUACGGGAGGCAGCAGUAGGGAAUCUUCGGCAAUGGACGGAAGUCUGACCGAGCAACGCCGCGUGAGUGAAGAAGGUUUUCGGAUCGUAAGGCUCUGUUGUAAGAGAAGAACGAGUGUGAGAGUGGAAAGUUCACACUGUGACGGUAGCUUACCAGAAAGGGACGGCUAACUACGUG
rnacentral:rRNA from 1 species